CCUGCCGACGGCGGCUCGACUGCGGCCCGCAGCGGCGGCCCCGGAGCCGAGGACUGGGGUGGGCUCGCGCUCCUCGUCGCUGGAGAAGUCCGGCGGCCCCUUGCUGUUGGCGCCUGCAGCGAGCGGCGGCCGGUUGCGCGCCGUGAGGUGCUGCAGGACCGAGGGGUCUUCCAGGAACUCCGGCAUCUCGGCGAUCUGCGAAUCCCCUUCCCCGCAGCCUUCACAGCCGUCGCUCACGCCGGCGCGCUAGCUCCUGGCCGGGGGCCGCGCGGCCGCCUCCGAGCCUCUCGGCUCCCGCCCGGGACGAACGCCGCGGAGCAGAGCAGAAACUCCCGGACACAAAGCAAAUUCAGCCCCGGACACAAAAGCCCCCGGAGCGCAACCACGGACCAAGUGCGGCCAAGCUAGAAGCCCGCACCAACCCCAGCCCACACACUACAGGCAGGAGGCGAACAGCCUGCUUCGCCCACGCCCCAAGAACGCGCGCCGCCAUUGGCGGGCAGCGGGAGGAAGCGUGGCGGUCAUUGGCGGGUUGGCUCGCGCGGGUUCCAUUAGCCGCAGCGCCGAGCGAGAGGUGGUAGAAACGCAGUUUAAAAGCCGCUCGGGCGGGAGCCGAGGCACCCGGUCCGGUUCUGUUUUCAUUUCCUCCACCCUUUCCCUCAGACGCUGAUAAAGGACAAGUCGUACCGUUUUGGGGCGCCGUUUCCUCUCCUUCUCCUUGCUUAAGAAGCAGCCUUCCUCUCUGGGGUCGAACGGGCCGAAUUCCACGCCAGCUACGAGGACCCUUGGCUGGGCCUUUCUUCCUCCCGGGACACUGACCCACCGAAGAAGAGUGGCCGCAGCCUUGCCUUCCCCAAACGCUACCCCUGAAGGGAAAGGAAAGAAGCGAGGCAUGUCUGCAGGCACUCAUAUUCCUUGAUUUACUUGCGGGGGCGAAGGAGGGCAGGGAGUUAAAUCCCCCCCGCUCUCCGCUCGGGAACGCUUCUUUUGUUCCUGAAAUUCAGGAAAAGCCAGACUUCUACUACUGGGCACUUUAGAUUGUCCUUGAAUUGGGAACAAAAUUGUAUUGUUAUUCGCUUCUUAAGGUAAAAAGGCUGGGGCAUUUCUAAGUUUCAUUUGAACAGUUAUGACUCAAGAC